AGCCCACCAGCUAGCUCACCUACAAAAAUGCAACAACCCCCAUUAAUAACCCCUAAUAACCUAGAUUUGUAUUAAACCAAACCAUUUUACCACCCAAGUAUGGGCGACAGAAAAGGACCCUGAAGCAACAGAAACAGUACCGCAAGGGAACGCUGAAAGAGAAGUGAAACAAAUCGGUAAAGCACAAGAAAGCAGAGCUUAACUCUCGUACCUUUUGCAUCAUGAUUUAGCAAGAAAAUGUCAAGCGAAGAGCACUUUAGUUUGAGUCCCCGAAACCAAGUGAGCUACUCCAAGACAGCCUUAUAGGGCGCACCCGUCUCUGUGGCAAAAGAGUGGGAAGAGCUUUGAGUAGAGGUGACAGACCUACCGAACUUGGUUAUAGCUGGUUGUCCAAGAAAUGAACAGGAGUUCAGCCUUUUGCCAUCUUUUCCCAAACCCAUCAUACCCCUAAGAAUGCAAGAAGACAAAAGAGUUAGUCAGAGGGGGUACAGCCCCUCUGAAAAAGGUACAACUUUCCAAGCAGGGUUAAGAUCAUAACAUCAAUAAGGGAUCGUGUUCUAGUUGGCCUAAAAGCAGCCACCCAAACAGAAAGCGUUAAAGCUCAGACACCCUCUCACCCCAUUAUCCCGACUACACCAUCUUACCCCCCUUCUAGUAUUGGACUACUCCAUUCUAACAUGGAAGAAAUUAUGCUAAUAUGAGUAAUAAGAGACCAAGACUCUCUCCGCGCACAAGUGUACAUCGGAACGAACCAACACCGAAAACUAACGGCCCCAACAGCAGAGGGAACUGAAACACAAUGAUUAAACCACUAGGAAAACUUCCACCCCUCAACCGUUAACCUUACACCAGAGUGCUUGCAAGGAAAGACUAAAAGAAAGAGAAGGAACUCGGCA
rnacentral:rRNA from 1 species